CGCUGGCGGCAUGCCUUACACAUGCAAGUCGAACGGCAGCACGGGAGCAAUCCUGGUGGCGAGUGGCGAACGGGUGAGUAAUGUAUCGGAACGUACCUUCAGUGGGGGAUAACGUAGCGAAAGUUACGCUAAUACCGCAUAUUCUGUGAGCAGGAAAGCAGGGGAUCGCAAGACCUUGCGCUGAUUGAGCGGCCGAUAUCAGAUUAGCUAGUUGGUGAGGUAAAGGCUCACCAAGGCGACGAUCUGUAGCGGGUCUGAGAGGAUGAUCCGCCACACUGGAACUGAGACACGGUCCAGACUCCUACGGGAGGCAGCAGUGGGGAAUUUUGGACAAUGGGCGCAAGCCUGAUCCAGCCAUGCCGCGUGAGUGAAGAAGGCCUUCGGGUUGUAAAGCUCUUUCAGCCGGGAAGAAAACGCAUGGGUUAAUACCCUGUGUGGAUGACGGUACCGGAAUAAGAAGCACCGGCUAACUACGUG
rnacentral:rRNA from 1 species